rnacentral:rRNA from 1 species
GAUGAACGCUGGCGGCGUGCCUAACACAUGCAAGUCGAGCGGCAGCGAGGGGUGCUUGCACCCUGUCGGCGAGCGGCGGACGGCUGAGUAACGCGUGGGAACGUGCCCCAAAGUGAGGAAUAACUGCCCGAAAGGGUAGCUAAUACCGCAUAUUAUCUUCGGAUCAAAGGAUUUAUCCGCUUUGGGAGCGGCUCGCGUCGGAUUAGGUAGUUGGUGAGGUAAUGGCUCACCAAGCCGACGAUCCGUAGCUGGUCUGAGAGGAUGACCAGCCAGACUGGAACUGAGACACGGUCCAGACUCCUACGGGAGGCAGCAGUGAGGAAUCUUCCACAAUGGGCGAAAGCCUGAUGGAGCAACGCCGCGUGAAGGACGAAGGCCUUCGGGUUGUAAACUGCUUUUAUAAGUGAGGAAUAUGACGGUAACUUAUGAAUAAGGAUCGGCUAACUGCGUG